rnacentral:rRNA from 1 species
AUUGAACGCUGGCGGCAGGCCUAACACAUGCAAGUCGAACGAGUGGCGGACGGGUGAGUAAUGUCUGGGAAACUGCCUGAUGGAGGGGGAUAACUACUGGAAACGGUAGCUAAUACCGCAUACCCUCGGAUGUGCCCAGAUGGGAUUAGCUGGUAGGUGGGGUAACGGCUCACCUAGGCGACGAUCCCUAGCUGGUGUGAGAGGAUGACCAGCCACACUGGAACGGAGACACGGUCCAGACUCCUACGGGAGGCAGAAGUGGGGAAUAUUGCACAAUGGGCGCAAGCCGGAUGCAGCCAUGCCGGGUGGAUGAAGAAGGCCUUCGGGUUGUAAGGUACUUUCAGCGGGGAGGCGUUACCCGCAGAAGAAGCACCGGCUAACUCCGUGCCAGCAGCCGCGGUAAUAC